ACCAGACCUAUCUACUGUAUCUAUAUCUGCAUACAUACAGAAAGUGCCAUUGAGCUCUGUUUCCACGUACACAUAGCAACAGGUCAAGAGAAAGACUGAAUCCAGGUUUAACAUUGGGAGCCAAUUUAAGUUUUU